AGAGCAGCCAAGGGUUCUCCUGCCCCAGCAUGUGCCUGCUCCCCCCUAGCUUCCUCAGUAAUUAGUGUCAGUGAUGGUGUUAGAUGCUAUUAUGGGAAGAUUCUGCUGAGAACAGAGCUGAGCUCUCCAUGUGCACUUCCCAGGGGAGCUUUGGCACUUUGUCCUCCUCCCCCACUUCCACUGCAGCCACUACAGCAGCUUCCGGGACUCACGGCUGAUUUGAUGCUGUUCUUGAAACAAAGCUGCUGGAGGGUAUUUUAUACCUGAGAGGCCACAUCCUGAGCCUGGGACAGGCAAGGACCAAAGCAGUGGAAGAGGCUGGCAGCCCUGCCGAGGUAUUGUGGUGAACAACCUAAAAUUUUAGUGAAAGUGAGCAACGUGGAAAGUAGAAGUGGACAAAAACUUUCAGAUCUUCUCAAUGGCCAUGUCCUACCCAUCGUCCUUGAUGGGGCAAUAAAGUGAGGAAAGAGUAAGAGAGGAGAAAAAGAAUGAGACGAGUAAUGUGAAAGUGGGAAUGGAUGAAGUCAAGAGGCUGAAAAAUUAAUUAAGCAUGCUGCAAUAGGCAAUUCUUAACAGACACUGCAGUGCCCUGUGCUAAAGACUGUACAGUGAUGCUAGGGCACUGAUAUUUAGUACUGCAGGUAUAGAACCCUCAAGUUUUGGAUCUUGUGGUCAUCGGGGUUGGUGGAGUGGGCUUGGGUGUGCAUUGUAGAGUAGAACAAGAGAAGGUGAAAAAUCCAAGAGACCAAAACAGCACAGUGUGCUUCAGGUCCUCACUGGGUGGACAGGGAUAGCUUAAGCUCUGUGCCCUGCACUUCUCAGGAGAUGUCAGCCCAGGGUCCCUGCAGGACUAAAAGCCUUCAUGGCCACGCUUGGCUAAGCAAGCAGACAUUUAGGGGUUUAACUGAAGUGGAUCUGUAAUCUUUCAGUAUUUUAUAAUACAGUAUGUUACAGGAGACCAUAAAUUAGAGCUUAUAAUACCCGAUCCGCUCAGCUACUGACAGAAUAUCUAAGGUAAUCUGACCUGCUUCACAGACCGUGAGAAAAAUCCUCAUGGAAAGUGAAAGAGAUGAAUUACAGAAUUUUACAGAGAAGUGGGAGAAUUUCUCUCGGCUCAGAUCUUGGGUUAAUUCCCAUGUAAGGUGAAAGAAUGUUUCACCACAUUUUGCUCAACUGAAGUUGGCAAGCUUUAAUAGAUGCAGCCCUGCAGGCUGAGGGAUAAACUCUGCUCCCUUUCACUCACUUGAGCCACUGCCCAUGUGAUCAACAAUGUGGGUAGUAAUAAAGUGAAGGAAAUAAGGGAAGAGAUCUCUGAGAGAAAGCAAACGAUGGGAUGAAAUGCUGCAAAAUGUCUGAGGAGGUGUUUUUUUCUCAUUAGGAGGGGGGAUACAUCCCAGUGCUCUACCUCCACAAUAAGGAAUGCAUUUCCUAUCUGCUCGGAGCUGUUGUUCCUCCCUGUCACAAGCAGAGAAUAAAUACAGUCUCAUAAUUACAGCAUGCUGAAGGUGGAAGCUUUUCCUAUGGAUCAACCACUCUUUUUUUUUUUUUUUUUUUUUUGCCCUCCUGGUAAUAGUUGAUCUAUAGAACGUGUCUGUGAUCGUUUCAAAUGGAAGCUAGCAGUUACUUUCUGUUUUCUGCUUUAUGUUCGGGAAAUGUGUCUCCAGAGAUGCCUCCUUCUCUCACCUCUUCCCAUAACAGUGAGAGGUGCCAGCAGCUCCUCUGCCACUUUCCUAACUAUUUCCAUUCCCCUUCUACAUACUUAUGUUUCAUACUUGCUCUCUCAGUCAAUUCCUGCAAGAACUAAAAUGUGGGUCUUGGUCGUGUUACGUUGGAUGCUGAUCUCUGAGCCAGGUCAGGUGCCUGCAGGCAGGAAAAUAUUUGGUUUUCUGCCAUCAUUUCUUUGUAUCACACCUUUACUGCAAAGUGUCCAAAGGAAAUGAACUUUUCCAGAAAAACAGCCCGAAGAAAACCUUUGGAGUUUCUCAUUUAUGAGUAUGUUUGUGUGAUCCAGGCCUUCUGUGAGGUUUCUAGAUGAUGCAUUGGUAAGAUGAAUGGAGACCUUUGUGUUAUCUGUGAUGGGGCAGAAAGCACACAGCUUCUGGAGUCUUUUGAGGAACUCAGAUGGAAGACGUUACACAAAUCCAAAGCGUGCAUUUUUUUAAUACCUCCUGUGAUUUAUUAGAUAAAUGUGUCAUCUUUACCUUAUAACUUCUUCGGCCUUGGUUUCUUUUCAAGAAUUAACCAGGAGCUGAUGAAUUUAAGGGAAAUUUUCCAGUGCUGACCAGGAGAUCUGAGAUCUUGAUAUCUCUGUGUACUUUCUCAAGGUACCAGUAGUCCCAUUUCCUCAACCAGUAGUACACUCCUUCUUAUUCUCAGUCAUAAUUGUUUUGAAACUGCCAAGUGUUCUUUCCACCUCUUUAAUUUUGUUCUCAGAAGAAAUCCUUCACUUCUUUGUAUGCAGAGGCUGCUGUGGUCUGGAUCUCAUCUCGUCUUCUAGUAACAUCUUCCAGAUUUGUUUUAAACUGAUUAGACGCUGCUGAAGAAUCAGCUCUCUCCCCCGGACAGUACAAAGCAGAGUGCUGGCAGAGCUGGCUCUUGGCCAUCAUCUACAUGGUGACGCAGCAUCACAUCACUUGACAGCCCCAAUUUCAUUUGGGGAGCUCUGAAACGUUCACAUGCACUGAAAAAAAUUAUAAUAAUACACAAGGUGACAGGAGGGUGCAAUUAAAACAGAAGCGCCAGCUUGACCAGAGAGUGGCUUUAAUUGGAGGUCUUCUGUACGCUGGAGCACAGACUCUAAAAGGUAUUUCUGCCUUUCUAAUGUGGCUGCAUUUCUGCCUCUGAAUUUUGAUUUUGAAAAACAGAAAAUGAUGCCUUUUUUAUUGGGCCAGUGAGAGAAAUUACAGGGAAUGAGCUGAGUGAAUUUAAAAUUCUCUCAGUAGGGUAUAAAGGCAGGGAAAUACUUGUCCCUCCAUAGCUCAGUAACUUCCAGUGCAGGUUAUACAUAGGAACACUCGUUCCCAGUGCCCACCUAAGCAUGGGGGUUCAUGUAAGUGAGGAUCACAUGUGUUGUCACCACCUCGAUUCUCUGCUGGAUGGAUCUCACCCUCACUUUAAACAUAAGGAAGAAAUUCAGAAGGUCACCACAUCAAAUACUAAUUCUGAAAUUCAUUUCUCCCUAAAGAUUAAUAUAAAGCCCCAAAUGAAAUACACUGAAAAUAAGCAAAGUUAGCUGCAGUAUUUGAGUCUUCCCAUCACAGUGUCCUAAGAGGUAUCCUGUGGUUUGACACAUAAUUAAUAUGUUUAUCUAUCUUUGCUUUCUUUCAUUCUUUGUUUUCAAUAACAGCCAUCACCAUAAUAGUCAAGUAUAAACAUUCCAUCCUGUUUCAUAAAGAGCCUACGGUCCAUUUUAUUGCAACACAGUUACUUUCCCAGAUCCCACGAGUGACAAGGCGUGAUGCUUGAAAAAAUUCUCUGAAAUUUUCUCACCGUUUUUGCUUGAAGUAAGUUGCAUUCUGUUUACAAACUUGGGAAAAUGGGCCUCUUUUGCCUACUUUUGAGUGUCAUGGGAACACAUACCGAGAUCUGAUCCAGUAGCACUGCGUGAUGCUGGGAGCUUCUCAGGGUCCCGUAGUUUGCCCCCGAGGGUGUUUCAGGAUGCGGUGUAAAGUUGCAUGCUGUUUGCCAUGUCCAGGGUCCCAGACACAUGGGGAAUCAGACUGGCUCCAAUAUUGAAAGCUGAUCAUUUUUCAGACAAACAUAGAUAUGACUUUUGUUAUUUAUUCACGCUGAAAUGUUAAUAUGUCCUCAUUACUCUAAAUUAUUUCAUUUUCAACUUACAGUAUGUUCAUGGAUUAUUUGAAGGAAUUACUGGCUUUAGCUUAUGUUAUCUGUGACUCACUUUUAAUAGACUUGACUGGCCAGGUAAUUUCCACAGUAUUGUUUUUGGCUCCUUAACUGGAUCCCAUCCAAGUUUACAAAGCGCUUCCACAGAGAUAAUGGAGAACAUUCCAGCCUCCUGUGAAAUGUCAGCUCUGUGUCCAGUGUUAGACGUGCAGCAUUAACCUGGUUAAAGCUGCUGGAUUCUGUAAUUUCUUUCUUGGAAGUACCAAACAUCCUAAAGACACCAAGUCAAAUCUGCCAAAAGCAGGAGAGAAAAAGAAAAUGGGAGACUCAGAGUGAGAGUGAAAAGUAAAUGCAAUGCUAUUACUUUACACCAAAGAACUGUAAGUUAAUUGAUGUCCAUAAUAAACUUUCAGUAGAAAAGUAUUAAAUAUUUUUGAAGACGUCUGUAAAUCCAGUAUUGGAAAAAAAAAAGUUACUGUUAUCUGGGUUUAAUCAGCUGAGAAAAGCAUGAUGAUAAAUAAGAUUUAGUGGAAGCAUAAAUUGAAAAUGGCGAAUAAUACUUUUAAAAGGGAGCCUACUGGAAUACGUAUGUCUCUAUGUCUCUGAGGUAUUUGAUUUGGAAUAUAUAAUCAUCUCCUUUGAGGAUAUUUAUGAAAGUUAUUUCUGAAUGUUCAGAGAUUUCUCUGCUUUUCAUUAUCUAUUUUUCUUAACAAGGGCCAGAACUGUAUGCCUGAUUUUCUGUGAUAUAUUCACUUGGGAGGUUUUCUCGUACUGGCCAAGGACACAUCGUUUACAAGAAGGUCCUGUCAAGCAUCCAAAUGUCUCUGCUGAAGCUUCCAUUUUAGAUGACCCCACAGAAUGUGAGAAAACCUUCUUUUAGGGGAAUGGCAUCUUCUGGCCAGAGCUGUGUCCUGAAAGGCUGCCGUGCUUAACGCACAGUUGAAAUGCCCAAUGCAAAUUAAUGGUAGAGGUAGGGAUGAUGUACCUGUGUUUUCUCAAGAAAGAAAACUCAAACCCUUGGGAUGAUAUUUUCUGCAUGCAUGAUUACCUUCAUUGCAAUUUGGAUUUCUGAGAAGGUCAGUUGGACUUUUGGGCCCUGUGUUCUGGAGAAAUCUGAAGAAUUUGGGUCAUCUUCCUCUCUUGACUUAAAAAUAACUUCUGUUAAUGCAAUUUGGAAAGCAUAUUUCUUUGAAUAUGAUCUUCCAUUUGCAGAGGGGGCAAAGUUUACAAUUUUGGGUGGAAACCAUGUGAAAGCUAGCAGUUCCAUCAGGGGUUUGUUUGGAAAUUUUUGGAUUUGUUCAAACUCAAAAGUCAAAGUGAAACUCGGGGGAUGUGAACCCGCUUGAAUCAAAACCAAAACAGUGAUGCGCCAGAUCUCCCAUGAACCAAAACCACCGGGUUCUCACAGUUCUCAUCCAAACAAAAAUGCACUAACAUAAAUCAAAUACCGAACCAAAUAUCCUCUUUUGCUCCAUCUGGCUUUCAUGGAAAUAACUCAGAAUAUUUAAAAGGUCUGCUCAGUUUUGCAGCAGCAACCACCAAAAUAUCCUGAGAUCAUUUGAUAUCUGGCAGUUAAUAUCCUGAUCUAUUCUCUUUAGUCAGUAUUCCAAUCCUUUUCUACCAACACUGCCUUGGAGUGCACAGCGUAACUAUCCCUUAACAUCUUCCUCGAUUGUACGGUUUCACAGGGAAGACUCUGUGAACAAUUCACUGUCCUUCUCCUUCUCAUUCUUGCUCAGAGAGCCAAGAAAGGAGUUGGAGCUGCAAGCAGAAAAAACCAAGCAGUACGAUCAGUACGGAAGCAGAACACUUAGCUGCUAUAGGACAAGCUGGGGCACUGAGAAAAUAUUUAAUGAUAAUUUUCCUUGUGAUUUCCCUUGUUUGAGACCAUACUAUGACCCUGAAAUGAGAGAAUUAAAAAAAAAAAAGAUGUUUUGCAGCAUAUCAUGUAGCAAAACGUCUCUAAAGCCAUUAAAAAAAGUGCUGGGCAUGGAAGAACAGAAAAGGUUUCCUCUGUAACUAAGACACGCUUGUUUGUAAUAACAUGUGCUUUCAAACACUGCCAAGUUGCUGAGGAUAUCUCUGUUAUAUACAAUCCUGAAAAAUGUAAGUGUUAAAAAAAACAAGGUAAUGUAAAAAAAGAAAAAAAAUCUAAAAAAAAGAAGAGUUUGAUCAGAUGGUUAAAAUCCAGUCAAACCUAAGACAACCUGUUUAUGACCUUUCCAUGCUAAAAGCUAGAAAUGUCUUUCUUUCUUUCUUUUUUUUUUUUUUUUCCACAAGAUUAAUUACCAUCACUUUGGGAGUAGUGAGCUGGACAUUAUUAUAUGAUGUCAAUUAAUGAUUAAAAAAAAGGUGGUUUGCAAAUGUAGCACCACAGUCCCUGGUGCAUUACAUCAUUUCUGAAAGAUCUUAACACGUGAUAAGCAGAGAACAUUUUAACCUAAAAGUCUGAGUGUUACAACCUCCUUUUCUGUUGUAACACCCUACCCACAACCUUUUGGCCUUGAAGUCACUCGCAAUAAAAUUAAGAAGUCAAAAAGAAAAGGGGGGAAAAAAACCUCUGGGAAAGACAAGACACACUUCUGUUUUGCUGUCGAGCAGAUAAUGCAACAAAAUGAGUGGCUAUACGCAUUGGGAAACGUGGUUGCUGAUCUUUGUGCAGUGUUCUCAGCAAGAUUCGUCAUCAAAAUCUCAUGCUUAGAGUCGUAAGGUUGCUGUGAUUCAGGUAUUAUAAACUACAUAAUGCAGUUAUCUCUGUGAGAGUGCCUCGAAAAUUUCAUGCGCUGACUGAAAUGACUCCUGCACUUGUCUAUGCGCUGCUUUCCCAGAUGGGCUGACAGUGAUCAUUUUAUGUGCCUUAUUGAAUUCGCUGAAAUAUUUAGAAGGGUUUCUACCUAUAUUUUACAUCUCCUUCUGUUAUUACCUUUUUUGCAGCAACAGUUUGACUUCUUCGUCAAUAAUACACAUAACCUGAUCCAUUCUUCUCUGAGCUCUUCUCCUCUUUUAGCGUCAAAAUGCUGUGGAUGUUCCUUUGUAAACGAUAUGCAUUUAAAAUACCUUUGUAAUAAUAAAUACCACACGAACAUAUGUAUCAAGGAAAGGAUUUCAAUUUUGAUGACACUUGCUUCUCAAGAACAGACAUUCUGGAAGGAAAAAACAUUGCCAGCCCCAAAUUGAUUGACAUUUGUUUACUUAACUCUCUCUUCUUGAAAGUCUGCACACCUAUUUCAACCUUGAACAGUUUCCAACUGUGGUAUACUGGAACAUUUUUUCAUUUAUUAAGUUCAGUGUUGCCAACCCAAACAAAGAGUAAUCAGUGAUGAUCCAAGCAGACCAAGCUGUCUAGCACCAUACAAUGUAUCUGCAUGCUAAUUUUCAAAUUCCCUCACAUUUCCAGAGAACUAAUGGGAUCAUUUUCAUUCUGUUACAGCAACUCAACAGUUACUGAAUCACCAUCUGUGUUUUCGUUAACCUGAAUCAGAUAUGAAUUCUGUUAUUGCAAGGUAGAGCAGCUUGUUUAAUGAUUCUUAAUCUUUUCUUUAAUUAAAUCAUGCAGCCAACCUGAAAAAUCUAUCUUAAUGCAAAUUAGGAGCUUUUUUGGCAUUCACUUACAGUAAUGCACUAAUAAGGUUAAUUUAUGAAGGUUCUCUUCCAGUCUGUACAGAUGAUAUUUGUUCGCUGCAUAUUUUUAGCAUAUUGUCCCCUUUUCUAAUAUUUAAAAAAAUAUCGCUAAUAAAAAAGGGGUUGUUUUCACUCAUACAAAAGAGGAAGGCUGCGAGCUGCUUUUUGUUUAUUUGAAAGAACACAGAAAAGGAAGAUGGGUUUCUCCCCUCCGUGAGCAUCUCUCCACGCGGGUGCAGAGGCACAAAUCGAGGACUGCUGGGUUAAAUGGUUUUGGAUGAGCACUCUCCACUUCUCGCUGGAGAAAUUCAGGCCCUGGUUCAGAUGAGCAUCUUGAAGUUAUCAGUGGAGACAGAGAGUUUCUCUGAACCCUUUGUUUUAUUUUUUUUCCUUGUAGGUGUGAAUUAAUUGUAUAAAGAGUAAAUAAUUCUUGUGAAAUAAGCCCGAAUACUUUCCUCAGUUGCACAAUUGCUUCAGCUCGGGGCUCUGAUGAUCUCAGUCAAGAAAAUUUCUGUCUUUGAACGCAUUCCUCCCAACUACAGAAUUAGUUGAAAUCUGUUCAAGUUGCUGAGUAAAGAGUAAACUUUGUUGUUUUCUUUUUAAGGUUAUUUUUCAACACCCACAAGCAAAUGGGGACAGCGACUGCAAAUUUCAACACGCGGCCGUUGCUAUUUAAUUAAAAUCACUGAGGCUGGCUGAAGACUUUUCAGCAGAGUGAUUUCACAUCAGAGAACACCGGUUCUCAAAAUCUGAACAUUCUUUUCAUAGAAAUCCAUCCCUCCAUUUCAACCAGGAAUGAGAUUUCAGUUCUAGGAAAGGACUUCUCAUCCCAGCUAGGAACGGCAAACCAUCACUCCCCUUUUGCGGCGGGGCUGCCCAACCGUGGCAGCCAGAGCAUCUCUUUCCACCCCUCUCUGUAUUUCCAGCUGUAAUCGUUCCAUGUCUGUCUGCAUUAACUAUUUGCACAGCUCAGGACAGGAGCUCUUGUCCGAGGAGUGGGGAAUCACCAAGGCUGUGAUUCUCUCUGUUUCAUUAAAGGUAACGCCUGCAGGGUGGUUGAACCUUCCUCUCGUUCCUUGCGACCGGGGAAUGGAAACAAUAUCUCACACUAUUUGUGCAGUGAUUCCUGGCUUGUUAAUAUUCUGGUGUGGCUGUUUUUCUCUGCUGUGAGGAACUUUGCCCACUUAGCAUGGGGUUUUGCCUCUGUCUAAGUGGGAAUGCUGCUUUUCCUUUUCCCUUCUUCCAUUUGGAAAGCUGUUUUCCUGCCAUUGCUAGUCCUUUCUGUGUAAUAUUACCGCAGAGAGAAUGAAAAGUAACUGCUUUCCUUCCCAUCCAAUCGUACCUACGUAGUCUUAAGUAUAUUAUAUGCUUCGCUUCCUGCUUCACCCACUAGUAAAAUAUGUUGAUAGAUGAAUAUGGGGGUAAGAUUGCUUUAAUUAGAACCUAUUGCCCUGCACACUAUCUUCUCUAAAGACUACCUGUAUUAACAUCUGGGGAAAAUAAGUCUUAAAGAAAAUUUCCUAGGACAGAUUUUUGGACUUCACCCCCCACCUUCUGCUUCCCAACCCUUUCAAUUUCUCAAGUAUAUUUAAAAAUGCAUGACUCACCCUGUUGCUUCCUUAUAUUUUAUGGUGAGGUGGUGAGGGGGAGUCUCUUCAUUUUCAUUCCUGGGAUUACCUUUAAUGAAGUGGAAAACAUCUACGGGAUGGGAUAAUACCUGAUGCUUACAGUUUUCUUUACAUCACAUUACAGUAUUUUCUCAGGUAUUAAAGUAGCACUGGACUCAACUAAGAGGAGUGAUCAAACUGUCUACUAAUGAAGUUACUCUGACAGGAACUCCAGGAACCGGAAACUGAACUUCAGAAUCAUGAAGAGCACUGCUAGAUGAAGACAUGGGCUGGAUACAUGUCUACCACACUAGAAGAAACUGAAAGAAUACGAUCCCAUUUGACUCCAAAAGUCUUUCUAGGCUAAUUACCAGCUCACAGAGCAGAGAAAUUAAGGCAGAGAGGGAAUGUUCAUGAUGACAACCUUUACCCAUUAGCAAGCUUUGCAUUUUCCCAAGGCUGAAGACAGUUUAGCCCUGACAAAUCCAAUCAGUGAUAUGCAGGCGUAACCUCCAGAAAUAAGCUCACAUUUUUGGGAUCCACGGGGCAAAAGAUGGACUGCAGUAAGUCACUAUGAAAAUAUUUAAAAUACAGCUUGGCCAGUGCUGAAAUGGCACAGUUGGCCUGAAGUCGCUUCAAGGUCUCCUGGCAUCUGCGUGUUUCCCCAGUGGCUUUGUGCAGUAAAGUGUUAACUUCUCCUGAGUGGUUACGUGUUUAAGGCAGUAACUUUAAAAUAAAGAACUGCAACCUUAGAGCAAAGCUGCUAUUUUGAGAAUUUUAAACCAUUAUUGACUCCUGUCAGAUCAGUUUCUAGACUUAUUGACUCAAGAAGUAAAUAUAGACUGAGAGAAAGCGAGGUCAAGUCAAUAUUUAUCUUGCAGAUCAAUACAUUUUGAUACUAACCAAAAAUUAAGCUCAAUAAAUGCAUAUAUUAUACACAGCAAGGUUAGAAGAGAUCCAUUCAGAAAAUUUGUCAAUUUGAAAUUUCCCAACGGAAUCCAACCUUUUGGAUUCAAUUUCCAUUAGAAAUUCUGUCCCUUUAAGGUUGCUUCAGUGACUGAUCACGAGCCCCCAUCACCCAAUCAGGUUUCCAGAUGAACGUUGAGUAGCAGCGAAAGGAAAAGGGAAGAAUGAUGAAGUGAGAAGAAGUUGGUCACAGGAGCUCGAUUACGGUGUUAGGAGGAGACUCGGCAGGGAUUGAAAUAACUAAAAAGAGAAAAAGAAAAGUGUUGGUUUUAUUAGAGCGAGUUUCAAGGUCUGUCUGUUUGUGCACAGUCCAAAUCUCAGGCGGCUCAGCUUAGGGUUUGUACCAUCAGGAGAACGGAAGAGCUGGCAAGCUGAGACACUACCAGUACUUUGUGGAAACCGACAUAUGAAUUUGUUCUACAAAUGUGCCAGGGACACACUGAUCCAACAGUUAGAUCACUUCCAGAAGACACGGAGUUAGAUCUCUGAGUUCACUUCCAAUUGCUGACUACUACUAUCCAAUAAAAGAAAAAUUCUGCGUAAAGUAAACAAGGAAAAUGGAGGAGAUUCUGCUGGAAGGACAGAAGGGACAGCAAGCAUGGAGAUUUAAGUCAGAGGAAGACCAACUGUCACUGCAGAGGGGAAAGGGCAUGAGAAUGAGCACUGCAAGAAAAAAAAAUCAUCAAAAAAUUCCUCCUUCUCUGGGAUGAAUACAGGGGAGUAAAUGUGUUCCUACAAAAAUUGAAUUAUGUAGUGAUUUUAAAUAUGGUGUGAGAAUGAAGGACAUAUGAGCUGCAACGAGAGAACCAAAGAGGAAUUAUGUGAUGUGUUCAGGCUGGGAGUGUGCCUCACAUGACAACAGGAAGAGAGGAAAGGUGGAGGAAAAAAAGAUCAGAAUCUACUCUAUUCUGAGCCAUUAAUGUCAGCCAUGUUGAUGUUUUGUAGCUAGUUAUAUUUGCUGAUGGUUCCCACGCACUCAUGACAUUCAACUUUGCAUCAUCCCCUAAAAACUGGAAAGAUGUCUCUCUGAGAAUGACCUAUAGCUUUGAUAUCACCAUAACUAAUUUCCUUUUCCUAAAGUAAUGGUGCCUACUCUUGAGGAGCAGAAUGCUGUGAGCUUUUAUUUCCAGUCUGAGGAUAGUUCUGUGAUAGGUGGAAUAAUGCCAGAACCUACUUUUCAUUAGAUUGUAUGAUCUGACUUUAUCUUGCACGCUCUGUGUGGUUUGAGUGAAUAAAUCACACCAGAAUUUAUGGGGUUUUCAUCCUUACAAAUGAAUCUUCAUCAUUACUAUGUGGAUAUAAGUAUUCUUGGGCUGCAGAAGACAGUGAGACCCACCAGGGCAACACAAACUGAUGCCAACUUGCCACCUACUACUCCCUUAACCCAAAACUCCAAGGACCUGGGCCACUGAAACACUGGGAUCCCAUAGGGACCUGCCUGGCCAUUCCAUUUGGGGUUUGCAGGACAGGAUCCUGGUCUUUUGUGAAAACUGUUGACUAAAAAUUUGAUUUUCUCUUUCUCUUUUUUUCUUUUACCUUAAGAAGGGCAGAAGAGGAAUGGCCAGAAGCCACCUCCUUCUUUUUUGGACCAGCCUGCUUUUCUAAGGGCAACAAAAACCAACAGAAGUGGUAGAGAAGAUGAAUGCAUCUUCCCUCCCUUCACAUAAAUUUGUGGGUUUUUUUUUCCUGUUGUUGUUGUUUUAUCCUUUUUUGUUUUAUUAUUUUUCCUAUUUAUUUUGCAAUUGGAAAAGUCCUGGGAUUUCAUUAACAACUUCCCAGGAUGACAGUGAGACCCUCACGACCCAGCAGCGAGUCCCAGUUCCCACCUGGGUGCCUCUGGAGAGUGACAAAUCUCUUGGAUGUGCUCUAACAUCCCAGAAGCACAGGCCAGGAACAUCUGUCUGUUCCUUCCCUUCCUUCAGACUGCCCCGAGGAGGAGGGAGGCAGGCAAGUAAUGAUACGAAAGGCAAAGGCUCGACUGGCCGUGUUACAUUAGCCAACUCAAAUAAUUCCUCUUGGCUGUGGAAACAGCCUUCCCAUCCAAAGCGGUCUUUUUUUUUUUUUUUCCCUUUUUCCCCCCCAAAAAACAAGAACAGCUUAUUUCCAAUUUUGGGCAGGUUCCUUGGCCAUGGGCCAGCUCUCCCCAUUGCCUCUCCGUGCUACUUCCCAAUGACCCUCAAGUGACCUUACUGAAUGCCACGGGGACCAAACCUUACCGAACAGCAAAAUCAAAGUAUGCAAAUGAAGCUUGGAUUAUUACAUAUAUAAUGAUGAAAAUGUUUUUCCUAUGCUAUUGCCUGUGCCCAGCUUCCUUCCCUACCACUCUGAGUGCUUCAGAGCUGUGUAUAGCUGUUGAGCUGAAGCACCCAAGAAUGGCUCUGAAGCAGGAAGAGAGUUCAAUCUGCAGGCUGGUUUUCCAGGCACUUUCUUUCUCAUUCUCCACAAGAUAGUUGAUAUUCCUCCGGAUUUUGCUGUUAUUAUUUGGGUGUCUCUACUUCACAGAAAAGGGCAGAUGAAUGCCUUUUGCAGCCUCUUCAGUCCACUCUAGUUCUAUUUUAGGCUGAGAAGACUGUGCUGCUUGGGUAGAUGGGUGCAUUUCAUGCCAACAGCUUAGUCUUUCUGCAAAGUUAGGCAUCUCAGUUUGAAAAAAUAAGUACUAGGUAAAGCUGUUUGAAUCAGUGCAGGAAGCUGAGUUGCUAUCAGAUGUAUAUGGCAUAAAGUACGUAUCCUGAUAGGUACUCUUCUUCAAAGGAAAAGUGGUGAUGUUUACUUGUGCAUUUUAAUGAUGAGAGGAUGCGUACUGUGACACGAAAUCCUAUCCACUGUACCAGUUCAACAGCAUUUAAACACUGAAGUCUGAGCUACGCAUAACCAAUGGGAAGGAUGUGGAAGAACGCUUGCCUGAAGACACCUACUCUUUAUUUUUAUUACAAAGUCAAUUACCAUUUCAAAGCAGCCAUGUGACAUGUAUACUGUCAGGAGCCAGAUGUUGGCAUUGUGAUAUUGUGACAUUAAUUUAAAAGAAGAGUCUUUUUUUUUUUUUUUUAAAUGCUGACUUCCCAAGGAUUAAGUUGGAUAUUCUCAAUGUAGUUGAAAAAAGAAUUUACAUUCCCCAAAGACAAACAUUCUUGUUUUCUGUUUGGUUUUAUAACUCAGUCAUUUCUCUAUUGAAGAAGCACAAAACAGAAAGAACUUUUGGUUUCAGGUAGUUUCACUUCAGCUGAUCUUUCUAAAAGCAUGCACCUUUUUAGCUGUUUCAGUUAUGAAUCAUAGAAUGGCCUGGGUUGAAAAGGACCACAAUGCUCAGCCAGUUCCAACCCCCCUGCUAUGGGCAGUUGCCAACCACCAUAUCUUCUUUAUAAAGGGAAGUUUAUUAAGUAAAAUUUGGGUUACUGAGGUUUUAGCACAUGUUGCAUUGAAUCCCUUUUUUUCCCCCCUAAAUCACGUGGUUAAACUUAGUUUGGGUCUCUUACAACCAGAAUCCCUGCUGACUCCGCUCUGGUCCAGGCAGAUUGAACUGAGUCGCAACACUGCUGGUACGCGUCCUCAUCCCCAGUGCCAAGAAAAACCCUUUCCCUCUGUGUUUUCUUGUUAGCAAUACUGCUAUGGAGGCCAAGGACUGACAAUCUUUCUCUUAAUUCUCAAAUCCUCUCCUCCAACAGGGAAGAAGGAAAAAGAUUGAAAAACCUUUUGCUAUUGUUUGGUUGUUUGAUCAUAAAGGGGAACUAGACUGCCAAGCCAGCACCCCAGCAGCCCUAAAUCUAUGUGUAAAAUAUGGGCAAAAGGAGAGAAAAGAUUUAUUGUUAUUAUUAUCAUUACAGACUACCUUUAUAAUAUAUGUGUUUCACUUAAAUUAAUAUUUUAUAACUCUAUAUCAGCCUCUGCAGCCACCCAACAGCAUUUCUUAUUUAUCCAGUCGGACAUACUAAUUUGCUUUUAUCAAAAUACUUGAGAAAUAAUUGUCUUACCUCUCCUAGGACAUGCUACAGGGUUUAUUCUCUCCUUGCUAUCUACAUAGUUAUAAAUCCUCAUGCAUUGAGAGCAGAAUAGGCUUUAUGUGUCUAGCAAUUUCUUAUGAUUUCUAGGCUAUUAUCCCCAAAUCCUAAUUAACCAUUUUUAAAAAUAAUGUGGCCUUUCUACCACGUGAGAUAUACCAACAUGAUAAGAUACGAUGUGAAAGUCCCAAGUAUAAUGUAAUUCUGCUGCUUUACUUUUCCUCUUUUAUUAGAGAUUUCUAACAUAAUACUGCAUUUUCAUCCAAAGUGACAGGAUUCAGUACAUAGUUUGUAGUAUAUGUUUUGCAAACUGCCAGAACAGAGCCAUUGAAUUUAGUUUUCUAAUAAUCAUACAGCCAUACAACACGCCUGUACAUGUCAGAAACUGAAGAAAGCAAAUUUAUACACAACAAUGUGUAUUUUGUAGAUAGCGAUAACCCACCCAAAUCUAAUUUAAUCAAAUAUUUAAAGAGGUAAUAAUUAAUUUUUAAAGAAUUGAAGUGAACCGUAACUAGGAGGAAAUGUUAUUGUUUAUUUUUAAUGCCAGAACUGUAUUCCUGAUGCAUUUUUAAUAUUUCAUUAAGGUGGUAACUUUCAUGGCGUAAUUUUUAAAGUUUCAUAUCUCCCUGAUUUAUUUCUUUUCUUCUGAAGAAAGGUAAAAUGCUAUAGGGAAACUUAAAGCUUAGAAUGAUGCAUUCUUUGAGGAGCUCUUCCUAAAACUUCCUGGAGUCUUUUUAAGCAGAAUUCUUCUUAAGCCUUUCUGGACAAGCAUUCUAAAACCAGAAGUCUUUUAAACAAGCUGAGGUACAGCAUCUUCUUCUGAGCUGAGCAAAGGGUUCUUCUUUCAGCCAAUGAAUGUGUUCAUCGGGUACUACUUUCUAUUCUGUCUCCGAGCUAUUACUCAUCACUCAUCAUUCUUACUUUCCAGAAGAGAUAUCUGCAAGAAUGGUUUUAAAGCCCAUUGCAUUUCAAACCUGUGUUCUGCCCUUCCUCAGUCCUUUGUUUUUUGUUUUAUCCCUUCUUUUCGAUGGAGCGUCUCUCACGUUUUUGAGCCUUUCAUACUCAAACUGUGGAAGCCUGUUUAUUUCACUCUGGCUCCAGCCCUAGUUAAAGGUGUGAACUACCAAAGUGGAAGGGGGCACAUGCACAUUAACACUGCUGUGGAAAACGUCGCCUGACAGAUGGAUGCAUGUUAAAUGGGUGUUUGAAGAAAGGUGUUUGCAAUAAAAAUCCUGAGUAUGGCAUCAGAGGAAGACCACACACAAUUUUCUACUUUUAUUUCUGUAAUAUAUAGGGGCCAGGCUACUUCUGGUCUGCUUUAUACUGUCACUUAAUCAUAUUUGCUAUUUUAUACUAAUAAUUUGUAUAUUAAUAUUUGUGUGUGUAUUUCAAAGUCUGGCUGUUUUCAAGGGUCUGCUCUGCAGCACAAGGGUCUGAGUCAACAUAGUAUAAAUCAUUGGUUUAUUCAAUAAACAAAAUAGUGAAAGGAUAAAUUGAAUUUCUCCAGUUUCAGUCACCAGUUCUUGAUCUCUGGGGGAUACUCACCUAAUAUGUUAGUUAUGGAGCUAUGAAUAUGAUGUGCAGAUACAUCCUUGCUUGGGUUUAUCUACCUUGACCUUAUCUACCCUAAGAACUGAAGUGUUUAAAUUCUGGUUGAGAAUUGAAGCAGGUGAUUAGAACUAGAUGAUCUUUGAGGGCCCUUUCAACCCAAGCCAUUCUAUGACUCUUUGAAAGAGGAACUGUAGAUAAGUUCACUCAAUUUCUGUUCCUAAGUCCUUAGCUGUUCUCUGGAUGGAUAACAGGAUUUUUUAGGCACAGCAUUGCAUUCUCUACCAUCUUUGCUCUUUUCCCAAAAUAUUUCUGACUCAGUCAUCUCCUGCCUACACAGCGAACUUUUGCGCCCCCUGACUUAGGCUGAAUUGGUUUCUCUUUAUGUACAAACAGGACUGCUUUUUCUUUCCUGAUUUCAUAAUUGCUAUUUCUAUUGGUUUGCUUCUUUUAGUUUUCAAUUCUACUUCAACUUGACUAUGAAGAUUAUCAAGAAAUAAAGCAUGAUUCACAUCUACACAUAGUUUACGACCUUUAGAUUCAAGUCCCUUUAUAUAAACUUGCAAAUACGAAAGGAUACGUCAUAAGACCUUGUAGGCACCCAAACUGUCAGUGAAUUCAGCCUGAAACUGUUUUUUUCAGCUUUAUUGAGACCUCUUUAUAAGCUGUGCUCGUGUUAUGACAAUAGAUUGUUUACAGAUUCUUAAAAUGUCCUGAGUUGAUGGAAAAAAAAGGGCAAUUUUUUUCCUUACAAAUACCACUUGACUUUGAGGAGUGUUUGAAGCUACACAACCAGAAUAGGAACAUUCACACCCGCUGUACGAGUGGCUCAAAAACCCUGUCAUUUCUCUCAGGCCCAGCUCCAGCAAGCACUUACACACAUGCUUAACUUUAUGCACACGAGUAAUCCCAUUGAUUUAAUGGGAUUAUUCCCCUAUGCACAGUUACGCAAACAUAAGUGUUUGCAGGACUGGGGUCUAUUUCUCUUGCAAUGAUUUGAAACCUGUGGAAGAAAACGCUAUAUGCAAGUUAGAUAUUAUUUAAUGGCCACAUAUUAAGCCUGAAUAUUUCUGCUGAAAUUGGUGAGGCUGUGUGAGUUUCUUUCUGGCUGAGAAACUGUCCUCUUCUGUGCACAGUGUACACUCCUAGCUUGCUAUGGUGCACCAUGGCUAUCACAGCAUACAAAGGCAUAUGGGAACUGUUGAGUCACAGCCUGAACCACUGACUGAGCACCUGGGGAAAGGACCUGGUCAGCCCUGGGAGCACAGGUGAAGGCAAUUCACCUGUAUGACUGGAAGGGGUGCAGCCUGGCUCCACCUCUCUUAGAUCUCAUUUAAGGGCUGACUGCCACUGGGGAAGGAUCUCCUUCUGGAGAUCCCUCCUUGAUGGAGCUUUCCUUUGUGAACCUGGAAUCAUCUGAUACAGGUGAGCAAUCUUCUUCCCUUCUGUUAUAGCACCUGUCUAUCAUGCUUAUCCUUCAUCAUUAUAUGUCUAGUGAAACACCUUUUCCCAUCAUAUUGAUCUGUCCAUUUACUACAAAAACAAAAUGGAGAGAUAAUCAGUAGUAGAAGUACUAAGAGAGAAAAUUCUCCAUGUCCAGAGGUUACUGUAUUUCAAAGCAUUGAUUUAUAACUUGACAAUGACAUUUACAAAACGUUCCUCUAUGUCCAGGAUAUCCUUCUCAUUAAUGCAAUAACAUAAUAACUCAUAAAUAUUUCAUAUACGUAGAAAAGGCUUACUUUAUAUAUAUAUGUGUGUGUAAAUAAAGAAAUCUAUACACAUAGAGAUGUAUAGUAGAAAAGUACUUCCAAGCAUCAAAAAACUAUGCAUAAAAUUGUAUGCUCGCAUGCACAGGAUGAGCACUGUUAUGAAAAUAACUUUGGUAAAAAUAACUGAACUUGAAGUUGCCUCUGACUUGGAUAGUUCACUUUUGAUUUGAAAUUCUGCAGCCAAGAUAAUUUUUAAAAAUUUAGGGCUAGUAACCAUCUGCCAUAAAUGAUAGAAAUUAAAUAUAAAUAAAAUAGUACUUCUACUACCAGUGAUGGGAAUCACAAGCCAAAUGUAUCCAUGGUCUAGGCAGCAGGAACACUUGUAGAACGAAAGCAGCUAAAGGAGCUGUUUUGGCCCAGACAUGUUUUGAUGUGUAGUGUAUCCUGUUGGCUGAACAACAGCAUUAUUAAGCAAUUUGGGCUGGAGCAUCACUGGGCUCUGUGAAGAAUUUGAAGAUCUUGACUUGAGCGUGUUGCAAGAAGAAUCAUGCUGUGUCAUUCAGUAAAAAUAUAAUCAGUCUUACGCCACUGGCACAUUCAAACACCUAGUGGGAUAUGCUGGGCAUCAGUGUUCAAGGUUUUAUGUAAGGUAACAGCUGCUUUGGUCAGGCAGUUAAUUAAAUGUGUUAAUUUUCCAUACAACCAACAGUAGUGACAACAGAUCAAAGUGGAAUUUUAUGACAUUUCAGGGUUCCCUUAUGUGAUCACAAUGGUGGAUGGCACCCACGCUAUCUUUCACAUCCCUUCACUGUAUGAUGCUGCCUUUCCCCUCUGGAAAGCUUCAGUCUUUAACUCUGCAAAUACUCCAAUGGUAGUACUUUGGUACUACUUGCUGGAUAUUGCCAGUUGUCCCAACUCCAAUCUUGAAAAGCUGCUUGGGCUUAUUCCCAUACUGAUGUUGGUUUAGUCUGAAGAUGAAGCAAUUCAUUUGCAAAGCUAUUUUGAAUUUUCUGCCUCCUGUCUUACAUUUCUUAUGAGAAAUAUUCAAUGAGCAGAUAUGUAGUGUGGAAAUAAACUAGUAUGGUAUUUUUGAAUAGAUACUGUAUUCUUCAGAUGUAGAAUUACAGAAAAUUAUUUCCUUUUCCUUGAUAGUUCCGUUUGCUGCAUUGCGAGAUGACAAAUUCAACCUUUUCCAUAACAUUGCUACUUUCAUAACACAGUAAUAACUCAAAGGCAUCGGGAAAGAUAAGGUAAAUGGAGAUGAUUCAUGGAAACGACUAUGAAAGCUUUUUAGAAAUAAUGGACUGACAAAUAUGAACAAUAUUUGAAUAAUAUAAAUGAACUAGACAAGUUUCUUCCCCACCAAAUGGAUAUAACACUGUGAAGAAAUGUGGAAGAAAUGUAAAACAACAAGUUAAGAGUAUAAGGACUGACCGAAAAUGAGUCACACUCCCACGCUUUUGGCUCACAAUUUGAAAUACUUGUUUUUACUUGAUUGGGUAGCCACUAAAAGUAUAUAGUAAGAUUUGUUUGAAUUUGAUCUGUCACUUUUUUGAUGGGUGACAAUGAUUUUAUGACAUAUGCCACAUAGUGUCACAUCAUUCAAAACACAUUAAGUCACGCUCUAUCCCGUCAUUUCUGAAGGCAAUAAUGCUAUUCAAUGUGACGUGACAUGAGGAGAUGUAACACAACUCAACAGCUGAAAAAAAUAAAAGGAAAGUUUUGUAGGUGUGACGUGGGUUCCUGAAAUUACAUUGUAAUGAAUCUUAGGAGGAAGAUCCCAGGAGCUAAGUUUGUAAAAUAGAUCCAUUGCUUGACUUGUGUCUUUAGGAUGAUGAGCUCUGGGUUACCGUGCACAGAGGGGCAGUGGGUGGAUGCUACAGUCAUGACAGCAGUCUCACUGGGCUCAGAAGCACAAACUAGCUCUUCAGGAACUACUUGCUGGAGGUUCUUAUGCCUGAAAAGAGACAAGACUGGAACCCUCUAUGGCUUGAAACACCUCUGAGUGUUUUAGAGCAUUUAAAAUUACUGCAGCCUUGAGGAUGUCCUAGGCAGAACCCAUUACAAGCUAGAUAUUUGCUGGUUCUAGUCCUCUAACAGCUCCUUAUGGCUGUUUACAUGGAUGGAUAGUAACAGGAAAAGAGGGAAUGGUCUUAAACUGAGACAGGGGAGGUUUAGGUUGGACAUUAGCAGGAAGUUUUUCACACAGAGGUUGGUGACGCACUGGAACAGGUUGCUCAAGGAGGCUGUGGAUGCCCCAUUCCUGGAGGCAUUCAAGGCCAGGCUGGAUGUGGCUCUGGGCAGCCUGGUGUGGUGGCUGGCAACCCUGCACAUAGUAGGGGAUUUGAAACUAGAUGAUCAUUGUGGUCCUUUUCAGCCCUGGCCAUUCUAUGAUUCUAAUAAAAUUAAAAUGAAGGUAUUUCCAGUCUAUAUGAGCUCUGCUCUUGUUUCUUAAACACUAUGUACUGUCCUGCCUUGGGACCAUCAGGAGCAGAGUGUCUGUGUUUUAUAUAGUAUCGUGACGCUAGUUAUUAUUUCUGACUGCAAUGAAGCUAUGUCUACUUAUACACGCAAACAGCCUUUGGCUAGAUUAACAGGAAGUUCUCUCUUCCUACACCAAAAGUAGAACCUCACCACAAAAUGUGAAGUUGCCUGGUCAACUCUGCAAGAUCUCAAAUUCUACAGCUACUCAGGUUGCACCAUAGAUGUUUUCCAGGUUGGUAUAACUUAGCCAUGCACACAAAUAUGGUAUGCUUGCUAGUAUUACACAGCUCCAAAUCUACGCCUUCAUGAAUACCGUCUAGUUGCACAUUAUGUUUUUAUCACCUUUUUGUUGAUGGAGCCUAUGAAUACAGAUUCUCUAAGAUCUUUGGAUACUGUCAGAGUUGGAAGCUCAAGAUCACCCAACCUGAAAUGCUUCCUUAGCUGCCCACCUGGAAUCACUGACCUGAGUUGUCAUCUCCCAAUUCCUAAUAAAAUUCCUGGGAAGGUACUACAUGGCUGUUUUCUACUUUCUUGAAUCUGAUUUUGUUAUAUUCCUUUAAAACUGUCAUUGGAAUUUUUCCUCCUUCUGCAUCCUAACUACAUAAUAACACAGUCCUUAAACCCAGUGUAUAUGAUACAGCUUCAGUAAGAGAAUCAGAAUAGCUGAUCACUGGGGAAAUAGGGCUCUUAUCCAUGUGAGAAGGGGUUACGAAGGCCCUUGGACUUCAGCCUCCAACUCUUAGAUGUACAGCUAACCACUGAACAUUGUAAAUGGGGCACACAGUGCCAGUGAGACCUGAUAUGAUGGCCAAAAAGCUGCUCACAGCUCUGAAUACAAACAGAAAUGUGGGCCCAACUUUCUGCAAUAAUUCACCACCCUAUUUUCACAAUUUCUUAUUAACUUCCCUCUUUUUGGAGCUGCUGCUGUUCUCUAGGCCCGAUUUUCCCUGCUGAUUGUCUUAGAAGACAUCGUUGAUGUCUGGAGUUUUCAUCAUGUUCUAGGGCAGCUGAGAACUGAUCGGAGUAACGUCCAUUCACCUCUUUCUUUUGUGACCUUUUCCAAAAAAAAAUAAACAAUCCUCUGCAGUUCUGUAACUAUCUUUUAAAAUGUUAAUUACUUGCAGGCUGAGUAUCUUGAAGUUCUUCCACCUUUGCUACCAAAGAGUAACUUGUGUAAAUUCUCACUUUGUUGUCACACCUGUUGGAAAUCACUGUUACAACUUAGGUGUGAAAAAAUGUGACUGAACUAUACGUAGUAAGAAAAGUACACACACCAAUCUCAAUGUAAGUGCAUCACUGCUGCUAUAAAACAGACAAAACUACUUUGGUGACAUUCGCUGUUACUGUACGUUGACAAGUUCCCAUUUAAUUUACUACAUAUGGUUCUACGUCUCCAUAGCUACUCUCGUGAAUUCAUUAUUCAUUAAAUAAGUGAUGAAUUUACUCAAAUAUUGCAGCCACAUGGCCGACACAAAUGCAUUCUAAUAUUAUUAACACGUUGCCAACUUGCAACUCUUCGAAGUCUGAGUAAAUGUUUUGACAAGAAGAGGCAGCAAGAACAAAUAAGUAGUAGCAGUCUAGAUGAAGUUCAGCCAUAGUUCUAACAGCUUUAAAGUCUUAACAGUGUUUUCACUGGGGCAGUACCAGAUAAAUUGCUCUUAUGUGUGCAUACAAGAGACUAAAAUUCCUUUGAAAGUUUAUAAUUUCUCAUGGGAAAACACAACAUAAAAGUUACUUUUACUCAUAGAAAAACAACACCAUAUUUUCCUGUCAACCUUUGCUGUUGGGAAUUUCAAACUUUUUGCAUUUUUUCCCUGUGAUUCUUUGUCGACCCAAGGGACAGGCGUUUACAACAUAAUUUACUUUCAGCAUGUCUCUGUAAAUCAUUGUAAUACUUUCUAUGGCUAGAAAGAAAAAAAAAACGCUCUCAAGUUGGACUGACAAAGUACUUUUCUGAGCCUCCAACAGCCAACUAAAAACACCUCUGUUUCAGAAAUGUGGAGAGAUACACAAAAGAAAAGUUUUAUGAGGGCUUUGCGUGAAUGUUUGUAUUCAGAGGUUGUAGCAUUUAUUAGGAAAUAUUUAUUGAACUGCAUUUACUUGCAGUAAAAUAUAUGGAAUGCUUAGUGUGUUGGUGGUACAAAUUAAAAUCACCAGCAUCCCAUGUUUGGAGGAAGGCCGUUAUUUUUUCCUUGCUGUUAUUGAGGCCUGUUGUUGUCACUGUUGUUGUACGGGCUUAGCAGAGCUGUCUCGGAUUAGGUGAUUUAAGCAUGGCCUCCCAUAAAAAAAGCUGGAAACCUGUAGAGCCUUUCAGCCUCACUUUUUGAGGCUGCUGCUAAUAUCAAGGCUCAUUCAGUUUUACAUUAGAACUUGAUGACUUGCACAUUGGUUGAACCUUCACCUUUUACAACCUUAAUGGGGAUUUAUUAGCUAUUUCACAGUGUGUAAAUUUGAAUCUAGGUCAGAUGAGGAAGAAAAAUAGGGCAAAUCUGGGCCUUAAGUAUAACCUGCAUAUAAUAUAUCAGGAUAAAAAAAAAAGGUGCAAAAUUAAACAGAUGAUUAAAAGUGUCUAGAGCAGUCAGAGUUUGAAAAAAGAGCUUGAUAAAUUAGGGGUGUUAGCGGGCUGCUUUUUUUUUUUUCUGAGUUCAAACUCAGGUGACUGGUGAAAGUCUGGUUUCCACACAAAUUCAGCAGAUUAAGGAGUUAAAAUAGCUUGUUAACCUGUUUCUGCUAACUGCUCGCAAGAGGAAAUGUAACACAGGUGUGUUUGAUAUUCGCAAGAUUAAAGCUUUUGUCUACCAUCAAAUGUUCACCACAUUAAAGCUUUUUUAAUGAGGUAUUGGAAGAUAAUGAAUGUAAGCCUCUAAUUCACUGCAGAAGAGACAGCUUGCCCCUGCUCUGACCUCACUGCAGCCAGGUAUCUACAACAUAUUAGUCACACACAGACCCAAAGCCAAAAUAGCCACUCUGCUAAAAGCAGAAGUGUUUCGAGUGCUAGAACUUUUCUGCUCAGCAUCCUGGAAAUUUAAAGUCAGGUAUUCCUAGAGUGAGGGUACCCAUCCCUUACUACAGGAGGGCUGCCUGGAUGAGGAAAAAAAGCAGCAGGCACAAGGAGGGGUUUUUACAGUGCCUGUGGAUGGGGGAGUGAGUAAGGGGAAAAAACGGGUGUGAAUUAAUGCUUACUGCUCAAUUAUCAUUCAUCUUAACACUUAGAGAUGCUUAGAUAGUCAAUAGCUGGAGCAAGGAAACGCUGGGGAGGGCUUUCUGGUUCGUCUGGUUCUGUAUCUAAUAUCUGAUGGAGUCACCCUCCCGCAAGGCAAAGGUAUGCUGCUGCUUAGUUGUUCUUAAUAGAAUAAGCUCCAAAUAAAAAUAAAAUAAAGAUCCCAAAAGGUUCUCCAAACCAGAUUUAUUUUGGCAUGCGUAUGCAGGAAACUAUGUACUGUAGCAAGUUUUAAAUACUGUAUUUGGACACUAAUUCUCAACUGCCGUCAUCAGUUUGCUGACAGCCAUCUGCUUGGACCCUGCUCCUUCCUCCCAUUCAGCACAGCUAAAGUAAAAUAUUGACAGAAACAACUUCUGCAGCAAAAGUGGAAAAGUUAAUAACAUAACUGAAGUCACAUAGGAUUUUUCUCUAAUGUUCUGGAGCCCUCCUCCAAUUUUGUUUUGCUCUUGCCUUUAUUUAGAAGAGUCCCACCCAUCCUAAAAAUAGGAGGCUGUAUAGCCGGAUAUCUUUAGAUGAACAGGUUACCAAGGAGAAAUCUAUAGCCUUAAGUGCCUACCAAAUAGUUUGUGUGACUUAAUCCUAAUGAGCAGUGCACAUGCUCUUGGGGAGCUGGCACACCGUACAGUACAUUGUCAAUCAGAGCAGCAAAAAUGUUGUCAUGGUGCGACUGCUGCCGAAUGAUGCAGAGGAACAUGCUGCAGAUUGCUAAAAUAGUGAUGGAAGGAGCCCAUGCAAUCCCCUAUGUCAUGCCUGGGGCUCAGGCCUGCCAGUGUGGUGCUCAGGGCUGCCUCGGCACUUCAGAUAGCUUUGUUCUGCUCAUGGCCUGUGGUAUUCCCCACCUGAAUGAGUUGGAGCUGCCGUAGCUCAGCACAAAGCAGGCUCUACCUUCAGCUCUUUGCAGGAAAUGCCAUUAAAGCUCUUGCACAGGUCAUAGGGCAAUGCACAAUAGAUGACUUCAC
rnacentral:lncRNA from 1 species